rnacentral:rRNA from 1 species
GACGAACGCUGGCGGCGUGCUUAACACAUGCAAGUCGAACGGAAAGGCCCUGCUUUUGUGGGGUGCUCGAGUGGCGAACGGGUGAGUAACACGUGAGUAACUGGCCUUUGACUUGGGGAUAACUUCAGGAAACUGGGGCUAAUACCGGAAAGGAGUUCCUGCUGCAUGGGGGGGGUUGGAAAGUUUCGGCGGUUGGGGAUGGACUCGCGGCUUAUCAGCUUGUUGGUGGGGUAGUGGCUUACCAAGGCUUUGACGGGUAGCCGGCCUGAGAGGGUGACCGGCCACAUUGGUACUGAGAUACGGCCCAGACUCCUACGGGAGGCAGCAGUGGGGAAUAUUGCACAAUGGUCGGAAGCCUGAUGCAGCAACGCCGCGUGCGUGAUGACGGCCUUCGGGUUGUAAACCGCUUUCGCCUGUGACGAAGCGUGAGUGACGGUAAUGGGUAAAGAAGCACCGGCUAACUACGUG